GGGAGGCUUCCGGUCAACAGGUGAGAAGUAGUUAAGUUUGUGCGGAGUCAGAAGGACGGGGCAGGUUUGGGGCUGCGCCAAAGGUCGACGCCCCUAACCUCUCUGUUCAAGGGUCCACUUUUACUAAAGUUACCUGAACGUGGUCUCUCUCAAAAUAUCUCACGUCGCUGUACUGUACUCACGACUGCCCGUCUGAGGUCGGGAGAUCUCAAAACGCCGGCAGGAGGAGUGCUUCACGUGGUGAAAAACACGAUUUGUGGGUAGAGUCAGGCUGCUAUCGCCCUUCCGACGAUUCGUCAGGAGGAGGCUCCCUGGCUUCCGGUAAGCGAAACUGCGGAUAAGGGCAACCCGCUGCGUUUUUCCUCCAGACGCCGCCGCCUGCGGUAAGGCAGAGGCAGCCGUCGAGGGUACUCCUGGGCCUAUGCAGAUGAUGGUAUCCUGAUACUUUACUUAGGAAAAGAAAAAGAAUCCUGCAGCUUUCUUUGCUGCCUUGGAGCACCUGAUGCAUGGCUGGCGUUUUAGACCCGUUAAUGAUGUCAAAAGAAAUUCAGAACGUUUCCUGGAUGGGAGUACUCUAUGGCGGAGGAAAACAAGUGUUCACGAACAGAAAACUUCAAAUCCAAACCUGCUUGUAAUUGAAUCCCCCCACUGCUUAAUUGGAACUAGAAUGGCUCCACAACCAGAUUUGAAACAUCUUCUGAAGCUGGUAGGAACAUCAGCUCUCCCUUUUAAAAAUAAAAAUUAUAUCAUUAACUGUGUUAAGUGAAGAUUGGUGUUCUGUGGAAUAUCAGGAAAUGAGCGCACCCCAGGACUGUCUGAAUACAGGGCAAUUAGCGAUGUCUUCGGUCUUACACAUGGCCUCCCUCCCCACCAAAGCAUAAAGGCUAAAGCUGGAUUAGUCUGUACCCUGGAAAAGUCCUAAUGUUUGCACUAUUUGGAUCCCUUUUAAAGAUGUUUUCUCUUAAACGUACUCACAUCCUUUAAGCAGGCAUCGCAUCCAAACAAUUAAUUAUUGAGUCCUUAUUGCGAACCGGAAACUCGUCUAGGCAUGGGAGAUCAAUAGUGGAGGAGAGAGAAUAAAAAGAAAAACCCAAG
rnacentral:lncRNA from 1 species